UACAGAGAGAGAGAGACAGUGAGAGAGAGAGAGAGAUAUAGAGAGUAAUAUUUUCUAGGCAGGAACAGAGUGAGUGUGAGAGACAGAGAGAGAGACAGAGAGAGAGAGAGAGACAGAUAUAGAGAGAGAGACAGAUAUAGAGAGAGUAAUAUUUUCUAGGCGGGAACAGAGUGAGUCUGUGUGUCUGAGAUAUAUAGAGAGAGAUACAGAGAGAGAGACAGAGAGAGAGAGACAGAUAUAGAGAGUAAUAUUUUCUAGGCGGGAACAGAGUGAGUCUGUGAUUAUGAUUUGAGGAAGUCGGAUCCUCGUCUCCGUGUGAUGGGUGAAAAUAUGAUCACAUGAUGAGAGAACGUGUGCAGCCUAGUCUCAAUUUAACCUUAUCCUCCGUACGUACUGGAGGCUGCUCUUCCCUCUUUAAUCAUGCCGGUUAGGCUACUCUGGUUUAACAGCAGGGUAGCAGCUUGCAGGCAGCUGGCAGGGUAGAAGCUGGCAGAGUAGCAGCUGGCAGGGUAGCAGAUGGCAGAGUAGCAGCUGGCAGGGUAGCAGCUGACAGGGUAGAAGCUGGCAGAGUAGCAGCAGGCAGGGUAGCAGCUGGCAGAGUAGCAGCUGGCAGAGUAGCAGCUGGCAGCGUAGCAGCUGGCAGAGUAGCAGCUGGCAGCGUAGCAGCUGGCAGAGUAGCAGCUGGCAGCGUAGCAGCUGGCAGAGUAUCAGCUGGCAGGGUAGCAGCUGGCAGCGUAGCAGCUGGGAUCCUCUUUUCAGUGACACCCAUCAACACUGCUUGGUUCCAUAUAGAAAUGUCUGGGAACACAUUUCACUCCACAAAUCAACCACUGUUUGAGGAGCACCCAGCCUCUCGCUGCGCGACAGGUGAUAUUCCACCCAGUACUCUGUAUGGGCUCUCCUACCCUGUUCCUGUAGCUACCCAGUGCUCUGUAUGCCAUGGGCACUCCAACCCUGUUCCUACCCAGUACUCUGUAUGCCAUGGGCUCUCCCAACCUUGUUCCUGCAGCUACCCAGUUCUCUGUAUGCCAUGGGCUCUCCUACCCUGUUCCUGCAGCUAACCAGUACUCUGUAUGCCAUGGGCCCUCCUACCUUGUUCCUUCAGCUACCCAGUACUCUGUAUGCCAUGGGCACUCCUACCCUGUUCCUGUAGCUACCCAGUACUCUGUAUGGGCUCUCCUACCCUGUUCCUGCAGCUACCCAGUACUCUGUAUGGGCUCUCCUACCCUGUUACUGUAUCUACCCAGUACUCUGUAUGGGCUCUCCCAACCUUGUUCCUGCAGCUACCCAGUACUCUGUAUGCCAUGGGCUCUCCUACCCUGUUCCUGCAGCUAACCAGUACUCUGUAUGCCAUGGGCCCUCCUACCCUGUUCCUUCAGCUACCCAGUACUCUGUAUGCCAUGGGCUCUCCUACCCUGUUCCUGUAUCUACCCAGUACUCUGUAUGUCAUGGGCUCUCCUACCUUGUUCCUGCAGCUACCCAGUACUCUGUAUGGGCACUCCUACCCUGUUCCUGCACCUACCCAGUACUCUGUAUGCCAUGUGCUCUACUACCCUGUUCCUGCAGCUACCCAGUACUCUGUAUGCCAUGGGCUCUCCUACCCUGCAGCUACCCAGUACUCUGUAUGGGCUCUCCUACCUUGUUCCUGCAGCUACCCAGUACUCUGUAUGCCAUGGGCCCUCCUACCUUGUUCCUUCAGCUACCCAGUACUCUGUAUGCCAUGGGCUCUUCCAACCUUGUUCCUGCAGCUACCCAGUACUCUGUAUGCCAUGGGCCCUCCUACCCUGUUCAUCUACCCAGUACUCUGUAUGUCAUGGGCUCUCCUACCUUGUUCCUGCAGCUACCCAGUACUCUGUAUGCCAUGUGCUCUCCUACCCUGUUCCUGCAGCUACCCAGUACUCUGUAUGGGCACUCCUACCCUGUUCCUGCAGCUACCCAGUACUCUGUAUGCCAUGGGCUCUCCUACCCUGCAGCUACCCAGUACUCUGUAUGGGCUCUCCUACCUUGUUCCUGCAGCUACCCAGUACUCUGUAUGCCAUGGGCCCUCCUACCUUGUUCCUGCAGCUACCCAGUACUCUGUAUGCCAUGGGCCCUCCUACCUUGUUCCUGCAGCUACCCAGUACUCUGUAUGCCAUGGGCUCUUCCAACCUUGUUCCUGCAGCUACCCAGUACUCUGUAUGCCAUGGGCCCUCCUACCCUGUUCAUCUACCCAGUACUCUGUAUGCCAUGGGCUCUCCUACCCUGAUCCUACAUCUACCCAGUACUCUGUAUGGGCCCUCCUACC
rnacentral:lncRNA from 1 species